rnacentral:lncRNA from 1 species
UGCAGAUGUCAACCACAAAAUAUUGAAGCAAAGAAGUUCGGCCAUUUUCUUACAGAUUUUGGUGUUCUGUUGUCAAGUACUUUAUGCCUAUUUAGGACAGGAGACUAUAUUUUCCCCAGUAGUUAAGCUUAUUAUCUUUCUACGGGCAGGCUGGCUCAAAUCUUUUGGAAAAGGACAUUAUGAGUGCAAAGUGGAGGAGAGGGCAUAGUGGAUAUUCACUUCUGUACUGAAGCCAAAAGAUAAUUACCAGUAUUUUUCCCUUUUCUUGAACAAUAGAAAUUUGAAAGUGUAACUUUGUAAAAUGGCGUCAAGUUCUGAAUGAAGCCAUUAGUGAACAAUGCUAUUGGCCGAACACUGUGA